rnacentral:rRNA from 1 species
GACGAACGCUGGCGGCGUGCCUAAUACAUGCAAGUCGAGCGGACUUGAUGGAGCUUGCUCCUGACGGUCAGCGGCGGACGGGUGAGUAACACGUGGGCAACCUGCCUGUAAGACUGGGAUAACUUCGGGAAACCGGAGCUAAUACCGGAUACGUUCUUUUCUCGCAUGAGAGAAGAUGGAAAGACGGUUUCGGCUGUCACUUACAGAUGGGCCCGCGGCGCAUUAGCUAGUUGGUGGGGUAAUGGCCCACCAAGGCAACGAUGCGUAGCCGACCUGAGAGGGUGAUCGGCCAAACGGGGACUGAGAAACGGCCCAGACUCCUACGGGAGGCAGCAGUAGGGAAUCUUCCGCAAUGGACGAAAGUCUGACGGAGCAACGCCGCGUGAGUGAAGAAGGUUUUCGGAUCGUAAAACUCUGUUGUCAGGGAAGAACAAGUACCAUAGUAACUGAUGGUACCUUGACGGUACCUGACCAGAAAGCCACGGCUAACUACGUGCCAGCCGCCGCGGUAAUAC